rnacentral:lncRNA from 1 species
UGGGAGCCCAUUGUGCCAGGCUGCAAGGAUGUGGGCUCCGGUGCAGAGGGCCUGGUGCUCUUCCCCAGGAAGAAGAGGGGCUUUGUGACAGGCUGGGGGACAAAACAAGGGGUGCUGGACACUGUUACUGAGGCAACUGCCUGGCCAGUGUGGAGGCAGCUUUAGUCCCUGGGACCGUUUCUGUGCCCAAGGAGAGGGAGGGCAGGGGAAGGAUGGAAUUUCAUCUAGAGUAGCAGGUCCUGGUUACCUGGUAAAUUAUGCAUCAGGACUGGGCUAGCCACUGCCUCCGUUUUCUCUGGGCUCCUGAGAUAACCUCCACCUGCCUCUAGAUUCUGUGCCAGCUGAUCGUAUCUAUCUCAUCAACUCUUGUUCCAUCAGGAAACUGCAUCUUGGAUUCUGGGUCAACAUCAUCCCCGCGGUGGAUCCAUUGGUGAGAGCAAUAAUGAAGCAGGUUUGCCACCAGGCUCCCAAAGAAGUGGGAACACUGACUGCAAAGGGCACAAUCUGAUUGGAUGAAAAGCGAGGCCUCAGAAGCAUUGGCACGUGUCCGCGAAGAGCCUAGCUGGAGGUCUGUCCUAGAGGAGGGGCGGAAGGAGGGGCGAGAAUGGCAGCGCCCCAUUUCAUCCGACUGCUCUGUGUUCCUCACAUCUGACCCAACCUUCCGUUACAACACAGGCACAUUUGUGGAUACUCUUGGUUACAUGUGUGUUCUCUCCUUAGACUCUGAGUCUCUUCUAGGAAAGGAUUGUCUUAAUUAUCUUUGUAUUCCCAGAAGCUAGUUUAGAGGCUAGUAUGUAGUAAGUUCGCAAAAAAUCUUUG